UGCUGAGGUGGCUAGGGGCUUUUGCCCUGAUCCUCAGUUAAUGGAAGUGGCUUCGUAUAUGCUCUGUCCCUUGCCCUCUUGGGUCUCUGGGACAGGAGCCAGUUCUGGAAUCCACUCCAUGGAAGGGGUGGUUCCCAUGGUGGCCCAGCCCCUUCCUGGUCCAGGGCCUCAAAUACCUGAGUGCUUUGAAGUCAGAGCUGGUAGGUCCAAGACUGCAGUUCAUCUUGGCCAUAUUAGGCCCUCAGUCUGCACUGCAUCUCAGUGACUCGGGACCUUUGAGUUUCUGACUUUAUUCACAAUCCAGGUAAGUCCAAGGGGCUGGGCUAGAGGCUACAUGGGAAUAGAAUCUUUCCAUCCUUGCAAUGACAUCACUGCCCCAUAUACACUGGAGAAACAUGGAGUGUGUCAGGAUGCAGGCCAACUCUGGGUACCAGAUCUAGCUGGUCUACAGGCAUGCUAUGACCUGGUAUGGGUUGGUGUUACUCUGGGACAUUACUGUCUUCAGGUUUUCUGCUUUGCCAUGGGUUGGCCCUGGGCCCCGCUGACGGCAUUUUGGGCCCUGGGGAUCGUGGGGGCCACAGCACUGCGUAUCGGAGCCUUCAAUGUUCAGAGCUUUGGAGACCAUAAAGCGUCAGAUCCAGACUGUGGCAGCGUCAUAGCACAGGUGAGGCCCAGUGGGGUGGGGACAGGCUGGAGACAAUGGAGGGUGAGUGGGAGAGGGAGGACUUGAGCAGAUGGGGACCAGGAGCUAAGAUCUGGGCAAUUAGGCUCUGGGACAGUGCAUCUGUGGGUUCUUCCUCCAGAUUCUGGCUGGCUAUGAC
rnacentral:lncRNA from 1 species